UACGUAGGGACCAAGCGUUGUUCGGAUUUACUGGGCGUAAAGCGUGCGUAGGUGGUUUGUUAAGUCUGAUGUGAAAGCCCUGGGCUCAACCUGGGAACGGCAUUGGAAACUGGCUUACUAGAGUGCGGUAGAGGGGUGUGGAAUUCCCGGUGUAGCAGUGAAAUGCGUAGAUAUCGGGAGGAACAUCUGUGGCGAAGGCGACACCCUGGACCAGCACUGACACUGAGGCACGAAAGCGUGGGGAGCAAACAGG
rnacentral:rRNA from 1 species